GAUGAACGCUGGCGGCGUGCCUAAUACAUGCAAGUCGAGCGAACAGACGAGGAGCUUGCUCCUCUUACGUUAGCGGCGGACGGGUGAGUAAAACGUGGAUAACCUACCUAUAAGACUGGGAUAAAUUCGGGAAACCGGAGCUAAUACCGGAUAAUAUCUUGAACCGCAUGGUUCAAUAGUGAAAGACGGUUUUGCUUUCACUUAUAGAUGGACUCGCGCCGCAUUAGCUAGUUGGUAAGGUAACGGCUUACCAAGGCAACGAUGAGUAGCCGACCUGAGAGGAUGAUCGGCCACACUGGAACUGAGACACGGUCCAGACUCCUACGGGAGGCAGCAGUGGGGAAUCUUGCGCAAUGGGCGAAAGCCUGACGGAGCAACGCCGCGUGAGUGAUGAAGGUCUUCGGAUUGUAAAACUCUGUUAUUCGGGAAGAACAAAUGUGUAAGUAACUAUGCACGUCUUGACGGUACCUAAACAGAAAGCAACGGCUAACUACGUG
rnacentral:rRNA from 1 species